AACGCUGGCGGCGUGCCUAAUACAUGCAAGUCGAACGGAAACCUUCGGGUUUUAGUGGCGAACGGGUGAGUAACACGUAAGCAACCUGCCCUUAAGACGAGGAUAACAAUUGGAAACAGUUGCUAAGACUGGAUAGGAAAAGUAAAGGCAUCUUUACUUUUUUAAAAGACCUUCUUUGAAGGUAUGCUUAAGGAGGGGCUUGCGACACAUUAGUUAGUUGGCAGGGUAAAGGCCUACCAAGACUAUGAUGUGUAGCUGGACUGAGAGGUUGAACAGCCACAUUGGGACUGAGACACGGCCCAAACUCCUACGGGAGGCAGCAGUAGGGAAUUUUCGGCAAUGGAGGAAACUCUGACCGAGCAACGCCGCGUGAACGAUGAAGUACCUCGGUAUGUAAAGUUCUUUUAUUAAGGAAGAAAAAAGAGUGGAAAAACUCCCUUGACGGUACUUAAUGAAUAAGCCCCGGCUAAUUAUGUGCCAGCAGCCGCGGUAAUACAUAAGGGGCGAGCGUUAUCCGGAAUUAUUGGGCGUAAAGGGUGCGUAGGCGGUUUAAUAAGUCUAUAGUUUAAUUUCAGUGCUUAACGCUGUUGUGCUAUAGAAACUGUUUUACUAGAAUGAGUUAGAGGCAAGCGGAAUUCCAUGUGUAGCGGUAAAAUGCGUAAAUAUAUGGAGGAACACCAGAGGCGUAGGCGGCUUGCUGGGACUUUACUGACGCUGAGGCACGAAAGCGUGGGGAGCAAACAGGAUUAGAUACCCUGGUAGUCCACGCCGUAAACGAUGAGUACUAAGUGUCGGGUAAAACCGGUACUGAAGUUAACACAUUAAGUACUCCGCCUGAGUAGUACGUACGCAAGUAUGAAACUUAAAGGAAUUGACGGGACUCCGCACAAGCGGUGGAUCAUGUUGUUUAAUUCGAAGAUACACGAAAAACCUUACCAGGUCUUGACAUUUUCUUGCGAAGUUAUAGAAAUAUAAUGGAGGUUAUCAGGAAAACAGGUGGUGCAUGGUUGUCGUCAGCUCGUGUCGUGAGAUGUUAGGUUAAGUCCUAAAACGAGCGCAACCCUUGUCGUUAAUUGCCAGCAUGUAAUGAUGGGGACUUUAACGAGACUGCCAAUGAAAAAUUGGAGGAAGGUGGGGAUUACGUCAAAUCAUCAUGCCCCUUAUGAUCUGGGCUACAAACGUGAUACAAUGGUUGAUACAAAGAGUAGCUGAAACGCGAGUUCUUAGCCAAUCUCACAAAAUCAAUCUCAGUUCGGAUUGAAGUCUGCAACUCGACUUCAUGAAGUUGGAAUCGCUAGUAAUCGCGAAUCAGCAUGUCGC
rnacentral:rRNA from 1 species